rnacentral:rRNA from 1 species
AUGCGGACUCGCGUAUCCAGUCGCAGCCGCGUCCCACCACCACGCGCCUGCACCGCAUCUACUCGUCGUCGCCCGGCCGAAGCGAGCUUCACCCUGGCCAGGAGGCGUCGCGUGGACCGUCUCCUGCGCCGGCAGCCGCGGAAGCAGGCAGAUCCCGGCGAGGACCGUGUCAGCGCCCUCCCCGAUGACCUCCUCCUCCUCGUCCUGCGUCGCCUCGACACCCGCGCGGCGCUCGGCGCCGGGCUGCUCUCCAAGCGCUGGGCUGGCCUCCCCCGCGAGCUCCCCGCCCUCGACCUCAGG